AAAAAAAAAAAAGUCAAUCAUGAUAACUCCUAGAAAUUUAUCUCCCACGUUUAUCCUUCCUUUCUUCUACACUACUUUUCCUUUCUUUUCUAGAAUAAAUAAAUAAAUAAAUAUGGAGAGGACCCAGGUAGUAUGUCUAACCAUUAAUCCAAUAGUUCUUUAUCUAGUUGGUGAAAGGUUCCCAAUUCAGAUUUUGGAAAUGUAUGGGAAGAGAAAAAUCAAUUUUCAGUAGUCUUUCCUUCCUUUUUAUCAUCUUUCAAGUACCAUUGAUGCAGUCCAAGAAGACUAGAUUGGGGAUUGUUUUGAUUUAAUCUUUCAUUGUAAAAUUAGGAAGUUU
rnacentral:misc_RNA from 1 species